GGGAAUGUGGCUCAGUGGUAGAGUGCCUGCCUAGCAUGCAUGGAAACCUGGGUUCAAUUCCUCAGUACCA
rnacentral:tRNA from 1 species